CUGCCUCAGCCUCCUGAGUAGCUGGGAUUACAGGAGACAGCAAGAAGAUGGGGACUGGAGGAGGCAUCAAAGCCCAGCUUCAAGAGGACCCUCUGCUAUUCAUGCUAUGGAGAGUAACCAGCCAGAAACUGUGGUGAGAACAUGACCCUCAAUUUCUCUUGAAUGACACCUAUCCUCUCCACCUGGGGGCCUGAGAUGCCGGGUACUUUGAUGCUCACCUUCACUUUGGUUCUCCAGGAGAUCAGAAACAGCCUAACUGUUCAGGUGCCAUUUCCUGGAGCUGAGGCAACCGCAGAGAGAACCACCCUGUUGAGCAUGGCCUGUGAGUCACUGUCGUCGCAGGACUUCCAAGCCCUGGGAGAGGAAAAACCUGUUGGCUGGGGAAUGGACAUGUCACUAAGCAGCAGAGUCCUCGGUUUUCAGCUUAGGUCAGGGCAGCAGGAAAAGGCCGGAAGGAUCUGGUUAAGUUCAUUUAGACUAGAACAUCCUGGAGCUGCCCCAUGCUGGAAGCACAUCCCCUGCUCUCAGGGCAGGGUAAAUGUUAGGAGCUGGUUGCAGAUCACCUGGGUCCUAGGUGGGCUUUGAGUAGUGUGGGUGGAGAUUUGAUCUUGGCACCAAUUCCUCCCUGUCCCUCCCCUACUUCCACAUCUUUACUCUGUCUCUGAGGGGGCAGCAGGAGGGCUCCUGACCUUGGGUACUAACUUUGCUGGGGUGAGAAAUCUCUUUGGGAGUCAUCUUUCUUCUAAUCUAUAGCCUUCCCUUGUUCUACACCAGCUGGCAUAGCUCUUUCAUUCCUAGGGAGUCCAGACCCUCCCCUACAACCACAGCUCUGUGUUCACUGCAGAUGCUGAGACUCUCCAAGAUGGGAAGAGCUUUGGAGGCCAGGAUAAACUCCUGUCUUCCUCAGGACACAGGGAGUCAACUGGGAAUGUUACCAAGAGGAUUUCCCAGCCUCACUGACUCACUGCCCCAAAUGCCCUCAGGCUCAGAUUUCUUUACCAUCCCGAUCCACUACUUGUCCUGCCACUUCUCACAUCCUGGGCCUCCAAUCUCCUCUCCCAGGACUCAGACAAUAAAUAUCUUCUUUGCUCUGAGAUUCUAUUAAUCUGGCUCCAGAAGGAAGAGAAGCUAGGGACCUCUAGUGUUGCACAGGAAUGACCCUUAACCCAGAACCAGUUCCUUCCUCUCCCACAGACAGCCUACUUGCCAAGAGGAUCAGAUAUCAGGUCUAAUAAGCAGCAUCCUCAUUGCACAUGAAUAUUUUCAAUUUAUUAGAUGGUGAUGGGAACAAUUUUUGUCUUUCAGUGUUCCACUCUUUACCAGCACCUGACAUCUUCAGACAUCUAAAAGUUUUCCAAUUUGGAGAGUGUGUAAUAGUAUUUUACUAGUGUUUUGAACUUAAGUUUACCCACUUACUAAUGAGACUGAGUACUUCUUCAUCCAUUUUGUCGGGGCUGGAUAUUACUUUUAUGAAGGAUUGCUUUAAAUCUUUGGUUUCUUUCAUGUCUCUACCAAAUUUAGGAUGUUUUGGACAUUUUAUUCAAAUAUUUUUGUCUGUUCCAUUCUGUCUUUCCUCUUCCUUCAGGACUCCAAUUACAAAUAGUUAGACGUAUUUGUAUUGUCUCACAUGUCCCUGAGUCUCUGUUUCGUAUUAGUUUUAAUAUUUUUUCUCUUUUUUUUUUUCAGGUUGAAUAAUUUUCAUUGAUCUAUCUUCACAUUCACUAGAUCUUUCUUCAGUUAUCCAUUUCCUUUAAAAUUUGAGAUACUGUAUUGCAGUUUUCAGUUUCAAAAUUUUCAUUUGCUCUUUUAAAACAAAUAUGUUCUAUAUCACCGCUUAGAUUUCCUAUGUCUUUAUUCGUUAUGACUAUGUUUUCCUUUAUCUCCUUGAGCAUAGUUAUAGUAGCUGCUUUAAAGUCCUGGUCUGUUGUUUCUAUCACUUGGUCAUCUCAGCAUUGGCCUCUGGGUAUUGCCUUUCACUUUUCCCCUUUUCUGUGUGUUGUUACAUUCAGGUAGGUCCUAUGUUCCCAUGUUUUCAUAUGUUGAGUAGCUUUGGAUUGGAUCCUAAAUGUUCUUAAGGUUACAUUGUGGAGACUCUGCAACAAGUUACAUUACUUUAAAGAGUAUUUUUUAAAGCAGGCAAAUAAUUUGGUUCAAGUCAAAUUGCAGACUAUUUCUUGCCUGUGAUGGGUGACAGCUCAAGUCUCAUAGCAAUUCUGUCAUCUUUACCUGCAGUGCUUGUGGUAUGCCCUACACAUACAUGGUUCUUAGGUCAGUCAGAGACAUGGGAGCAUUUAUACUCAGAAGCGGGAGUUCCUUUCCCCUAGCUCUCUCCUUUCCAGAAUUCUCACCUCAUGUUUCAGUGUUCCUAAUUGCCCUGGCUUCAUCCCUUGUUUCUCAGUCCAGAAAGAUGGAAGUUCUAUUAGAAUUUUAGCAGCCCAUUUCUGCAUUGUAGCUCUGGCCUAACAUUGGAAUAGAGCUAUUUAUUCCUUGUUGGUCCCCUUCCCCAAAUUUUGACUCCCAUCUAGAAUCUAUUUUCUUUUAUCCCAUUUUCCAAGUAGCUUUUUUUCCCCAUUCAAAGCUUGUAACUUGUAAGGAUUGUUUUUUGUUCGUUUUGUUUUGUUGUGGUGGGUUCACUCUGCUAGGAGCUUACUCCUUCGUAAUAAAAACACUACUCCUUCUCUUUCAUUUUGAAGGAUAAUUUUCCAAAAUGUAGAAUUCUAGCUUUGCAUUUUUCUUUUAACCUUUUGGAGACGUCAUUCCACUUUGGAGGGCGGUGAGUUUCUCAUGACAAUUCAGUCAUCAGUUUCUUAUUGUGGUUCCAUCUAAGAUAAUAUCUGCCUGUGUCUUGCUGCUUUUAUAAUUUCUUCAUUCUUUUUCAUGAAUUUAAAUUUUAUACACCUCAGGUAUUUUUCUUUUAAGUUCUCUAAGUGCACGUAGCAAAGAGAGUGCAAUAUUUACUUGUUUUCUAUAUGCUUUCACUCUUGAUAUACUCUAUUUAUGCUACAGUAGAAAUGUGUGUCCUCCCAAAAUGUGUAUGUUGAAAUCUUAAACCUCAAGAUGAUGGUAUUAAGGGAGGUUGGGGCCUUUUGGGAAGUGAUUGACCCAUAAAGGUGCCAUCCUCAUGAAUGGGACUAGUGUCCUCAUAAAAGAAAUAGCAGGAAGUGUGUUUUCCUCUUGUGCCAUGGGAGGAUACCACAAAAAGAUACUAUAUGGGAAGCAGAGAAUUCUCUCCAGACACUGGAUUCACUGGCACCUUGAUCUUGGACUUCCCAGCCUCCGGAACUAUGAAAAAUAAAUUUCGGUUGUUUAUAAAUCA